rnacentral:rRNA from 1 species
GCCCCCCUCAAGAUGAGAUUUCCCAACUUCGGUUAUAAGAUCCCUCAAAGAUGAUGAGGUUAAUAGGUUCGAGGUGGAAGCGUAGCGAUACGUGGAGCUGACGAAUACUAAUCGAUCGAAGACUUAAUCAAUUU